rnacentral:rRNA from 1 species
AACGAACGCUGGCGGCAGGCUUAACACAUGCAAGUCGAGCGCGUAGCAAUACGAGCGGCAGACGGGUGAGUAUCGCGUGGGGAUCUGCCUCGUGGUACGGAACAACUCAGGGAAACUUGAGCUAAUACCGUAUAAGUCCUUCGGGAGAAAGAUUUAUCGCCAUGAGAUGAACCCGCGUCUGAUUAGCUAGUUGGUGAGGUAACGGCUCACCAAGGCGACGAUCAGCAGCUGGUCUGAGAGGAUGAUCAGCCACACUGGGACUGAGACACGGCCCAGACUCCUACGGGAGGCAGCAGUGGGGAAUAUUGGACAAUGGGCGCAAGCCUGAUCCAGCCAUGCCGCGUGAGUGAUGAAGGCCUUAGGGUUGUAAAGCUCUUUCGUCAGGGAAGAUAAUGACGGUACCUGAAGAAGAAGCCCCGGCUAACUUCGUGCCAGCCGCCGCGGUAA